rnacentral:rRNA from 1 species
AAGACGCUGGCGGUAUGCCUAACACAUGCCAAGUCGAACGAAUCUUUCGGGAUUAGUGGCGGACGGGUGAGUAACGCGUGAGAAUCUGCCUUCAGGAUGGGGACAACAGUUGGAAACGACUGCUAAUACCCAAUAUGCCGCAAGGUGAAACUCUUUUGGCCUGAAGAGGAGCUCGCGUCCGAUUAGCUAGUUGGGGUGGUAAAAGCGCACCAAGGCAGCGAUCGGUAGCUGGUCUGAGAGGAUGAGCAGCCACACUGGGACUGAGACACGGCCCAGACUCCUACGGGAGGCAGCAGUGGGGAAUUUUCCGCAAUGGGCGAAAGCCUGACGGAGCAAUACCGCGUGAGGGAGGAAGGCUUUUGGGUUGUAAACCUCUUUUCUCAAGGAAGAAGAACUGACGGUACUUGAGGAAUCAGCAUCGGCUAACUCCGUGCCAGCAGCCGCGGUAAU